AGACACAAUCCUGUCAGUGCCCCUGCACCCCUCUGCCCCUGUGCUCUGCUCUGCUGGGCUGGGAGGGAGGGGACACACGGGAGAGGGGUGGCAGGGCAGCCCUGGCCUGGGGCUGGGCAGAUGCCUCCAUGCUGCAGCACUUCUGCUGCCCCACACUCCACUGCGCUGCUUGUUUUUGCUUCUGAGGGCUUUGAAGCUGCUCCUCUCCCUCUGUGUGUGCAUGGGGCAUCCUCUGCCUGUGUGUGACAAUUACCCUCACCCCCACCUUUCACACCUCCCCUGCUCCGUGUCAGGGAACACCUGAAGGGCUGUCAGAGUGUUACACAGCACAUGGGUGCUAUCACAGGGAGGUGACUGGCUGAGCUCCAUCAUGUCAGGGAACCCUCAGUUGGCUUCAAGUCUAUUUUGCCAUCACCUUCCCUGGAGAAUCUGGGCUGGGAGGAGAAGCUGCUCCCACUGGAAGCUGCAGUCCUUGCCGAGUCACUUACAUCCUGAAUUUAUGGAAGCAGGGACAGAACAGUCCGGGGGAAAAACUGAGCACCAGCACGUUUUGUACACACAAAAAAGUUAUCUUGUAGUGGGCAAGUCUAAUUAAUUACAGGGUAAGUACAGAGAAACGGGGUCUGUGGACCUGCAGCUGAAUGAGUGGUGCUGUGGAAGGUCUCAGCUGCAGUCCCAGAGGGAGCUGGGUGUGCAGCAAGGUGAGUGAUGGGAGCAGAGGCAGCAAAAGGCUCCUCCUCUGAUGCUGUGCAUUGGGAAGGAUUUCCUUUGCCUUAACUGGAAGAGACUGCCUUAUUCAUCAGCUUACCACAAAAACCAGAUUUAUGGGCUCAGUAAUGAGUGUGAAAAGAAUGAAAGCCCUGACUAUGCCAGAGCCUGGAGAGGUCCCAGGCAGUCCAGAGAGCAGCAAUGCUGGGGGAAUGUGUGUGCUGGUUUGUGGCCAGUGCCACGUUCCAGCAGUUCAACACCUCCACCUUUCCUGCAGCAGCCUGAAAACUCAGCAAGCCCAGAAUACCAAAGUGCAGACAAGUCACCUAGUUAAUACAAUGUAAUAAAAUACCUGCCUGUUAAUUAGGCGUGUGAGCAGGGUGUACAGCCAUCCCAACAUCAAUAAACCAGCCGUGCAAAGUCUGCUUCCCAGCUCAAGUGCUCAGGGGAACAAUCCUCACAGACAAAUGAUUCAUUCACCAGAGUACUUCAGAGAUGGAAAAAGAUCCCUCCCACCCUCCCAGCCCACAGGGUGUGUCAGGCCAGGACCUGAGCCUGCUCUAACUUUUCACCUUGGCAGGGAGUGUGAGCCCCACAGCCCAUACCCUCUGUUGAAGAGCUGUUGGGUUUGGGGAUGGGGGAACUCAACACAACCACUGCAACUUAAUGGAUCAGAAGAGACCCUAGGGGAAAAAACCUGCACAGACACAGAGCAAGUUGUUAGGAAGAGGCUCCUUCCCUCCCCAGGACCAAGCUGCCUGUGCAAAUGUCCCCCCUCUGAGCAGGCAGGACAGGGGCAGUGGGCAGGACACUGCACCAGGCAGCACCUGUUUCUCUUUAUCCCAUCUCUUGGGGGGAAUGGUGUCAGGCUGGGAAGGAUCUCCUGCAGGCCCAGGGAACAGCAGAGCUGGAAGCAAGCAGGACAGAGAGGAGAGGUCAGCCUACCUUCACCUGGCCUUACAUCCGGCCUCCCAGGAUCUUUCCUAUCGUUCUUAUCAUCAAGGGCAUCAGCCAAGUCAAAAUCCAUAGGAUCCUUUUCUAGAAAACAAGACCAGGGUUAGCAAUGUGGUGAUAGGAUGAGGAACUCUGCAAUUAAUUAAUUAAUCAGGGAAAAACACUGUUGAAAGAGAUGAAGCUCCAGACACAAGCACUUCCCAAUUCUGCUAUGGAGCCUCAUGGCACAUCUUCCAAGCCCAUCCUGUUCCACUCCCCCACACAGCUUUGGUGGGGAAUAGUAUGUCCUUCCUGCAGGAAUACGGUCCCCAUGGCUGCAGUGCCAGGCAAUCAGAUAAAGGAGGGGUAGGAAAAGUCAGAGGCAAACUGGUGCCCCAAGGGCCCAGGCAGUGGAAGGGAGGGAGGUGGCUGUACCAUGCUCACGUGCUGGCUGGAACAGCCUGUGGCUUGAUUCCUUGGAGUUAUUUUCCUCUGUGAAUGCCCAGCUGGUCCUUUGAGCUGCCUGGGUGACAGAGGAUAUUGUCUCUGACAAACAGCAGCUAAAAGCCCAGUACAGAGCCCACUGAGCUCCUCAGCCCUCCCACCCGUGCUCUGCUGAGUUUAUUCUGAUUCAAACCAAAACCCUGCCUGGGCAGGCAGCAAAAUGCUCAGCUGACAGGGUGCCCUGAGCCUGUAGGUGCCUUCCAGUGAGCAUGGGAAUGAAGCAUGGUCCAGAAACCACCAAGGUCCCCUGGGAAACACAGGGUAAUGCUCAGAUGUCCUGUCCUCUCUGUGGUUUUUGAUAUUUGUUUUUUCUCGAGGUGUCUCAAGUGAGCAAACAGAGGUUAGAAAUAGCAGGACAAGGGCAGUGCCACCAUCCUGGCACAUCCCAAAUCCUCCCCCUGUGCCAGCAGCAGAGGCUGUGGGGAUGAUGCUCACCUGGGUUACGUUUAGGAGGGGCUCUUGUAGUUUUUGGCUGCUUGGUCGUGGUGGUGCGAAUGACAUCCCAAAGGCCACUGUCUGAAGGGGAGGAAAAGAAAAAAAACCAAAAUGCUGUUCCCCUCUGAAAGGUGGUUCAGAUGAGUGCUGUGUGGGGACACCCCCACCCUGCUGGGAGACUGGGGCUGCCCAGGGCCAGCUCAGUGCUCUGGUCUUUACACAAUUCCAGCUGAUACGGGGGCACCCUCCCUCUGGGGGCCCUGGGGAGGCUGGACCUGCAGGGAGCUCUGCAUUACCUGGCUUCCCUGGCCUGGGGAAGGGCUUGGGAGUCGGCUUGGCUGCCUUGGUGGUAGUCUCCACAGGCGUGUCAAAGUAAUCAGCCAAAUCGAAGUCUGCAGGAGAGAAGGGAUUGUUACACUCCUGUUUGUGGGGACAGCACAAGGCUGUUGGCACACACCCUGCUCUGUGGGUGUUGUGCAAUGGUGCUGCACCAUUGCCAGGGCCUCCCACACACGUCAGGCUAGAGCUGGAAAGGGCAUCCAGCCACUCUGCUGCUCAAUCCUGACCUAUCACAAAGAUUCAAAAAAGCCUGGCCACCGUUUCUGUCUCCCCAUCCAAGCUGUGGCUGCUGCCCAGCCCCAGCAAUCCCAAAGUAAUUCACUUUUGGGGGAGUCCUGCUGGUACCUGCAGCAUCUCCUGAGAGCUGGGGGGAUGAGAAGGGGCCGUGGAACUGAGCCAGUGGCUGGGACGCUGCUCCCUGUGCAGCUGCCCAUGAGUGACCUUGGGCUGAGCAGGGCAUGCACAGAGAGGGGCCAGGAAUCUACUGCAGGAGCCUCUCAGUGCUAUCAUUCAUCCAAAAAACACUCCCUGGGGAAGAAGCAACUGGCUGAGACAAAGCCUCAGCCUCCACAUGUGUCCAUUUCCCAGGGGGAGUUCCCUGGAUGGAACAACCUCUCGUUCAGGCUGUGAUCCAAGCACUGAAGCCCUGCGUGUGCCUCUGGCACUUGGCUUUUCUUCUCCCUACCAAAGACCAUGGUGGCCAAGGAGCCAUGCAGUUGAAUUGGCUUAAAUUUGUGCCAAGAUCCUCAUGCAGGGGUGAGUGGAUUUACUUAGCACUCCUCUGAUGCAGUUUAUUGCAGGCUCCUCCAGCAGGACUGAGCAGCCCUUCAGCUCCUGUGACUGUGCUAUAUUUAACAGGACUCUUUGGCCAAAGCUGAGCCAGAGGAGCUGCUGGCAACAGAACUCGUGUGAAUUUAAGGGAGCUUCCUCAACCGUGGCACUGCUGGGAGCUGGCCAGACAGCACAUUUCACGUGCACCAACAGUAAGAGACUCAUUCUCCCCUGGAUGGAGAAGUGUCACCAAAAUGGCACUUUCUGUGGAGGCUGGGGAUAUCUUGGAAUAAAAAAAGGAAGGAAAAUAUCCUCUAGACUUUCUCCUGGAAGGAAAGCUAGCAGGUGCCAUGCAGACAGGAACAAAAGCUCUUGUGUAGCUGAGCAGUGAUUUGUGUCUUUUCCAUUAGGAUACUGCAAAGUGUGCAAAAUCCUGCCUUGGCUGUAAAUGUUCCGCUGCCACUCACCCUCAGCAUGGACAGAAAUAUCAAUAUUGCAUUUCUCUGGCCACACAGGAACAGUGCAGGUGCACACACCAGCCCCUAUGGGCAAGUGAAGGGGUCCCAAAGCAGCUCCUGAGGCAGCAGCACUCAGCCCCACACGGGCAGCCCUUGGGGCUCACACAGUUCAGCCCCACGGGAAGUGCACCACACUGACUGAGAUGAUGUGCAUGCAAGGUCUCACCUGUCCCACCCGCCGGCCUUCUGGGACCCUUGGGAGUGGCUGUGACAAAAGAGAUGGGGAGGAAAACUGUUAGUCAUAGGCAUCACCAAAAAUGUCACCUCUGGACUGAGAAUGAAUGGCAAAGAUUUCACAGCUUUGUGACAUUUGCAUUUGCAGACUCGGGGCACAGGGUCCUGAACACCCUGCACACAGUGUGUGGCCACAGGGAUCAGCCUAUGGGUGAAAAUGGAGCCCAGUGCUCAAAUGGAGCCCAGUGCUCCACCUUGAGCUGAGCCAGCAUCCCACCCAGCUGGUGGAGAGCAGGGAGCUGCAGCAAUCUGCCCCAAGGCUCUGGGAUCCAGCAGCAGGCAGGAAGGGCAGACACUGUACACAACAGUGUGGAAACCAGCAGUGAGGUGCCAAUGCUUUGGUGUCCCUGGCUGGUCAGGCAGACCAGUGACAGGUAAUUUCCCGUGCUGUGUUGGGCACAGGAGGUUCCCUGUCAGCUGGAGGGCUUUCAGUGACACCCUGAUACUCAGAUCCCAGCCUCCCCUGGCUGCUCCUGGGCUAAAACAAGCUACAGCCAGCCACUGAGGGGGGAGGGAGGGAGCAAUAUGGAAACCACUGCCUAUUAAUAGUGGCUGGCAUUACCAAGUAUAUGAAUAAAUUAUGAGCAAGAGCUGUGGCUGAUCCAUUCCCAUUAAUUUCCAUUAGACUGGAGUGGUGUUGCUGGGCUUCAUUUCCAGUGUGCUGGUAUGGUUUGAUGUGACCCAACUCCAGACCCUUGGUUUGUUUUUUCUGGGGCUGACACAAAUGCAGAGUGGGAUGCAGCAUGUGGGGAGGC